AGCACAGCGCGGGAACGGCGUGGCGGACCCGGACCUGGGGCGGCAGCCAGCAGCGGGAACGCGCGGGCCCGGAGGGCUCCGGGCGAGGGGGUGGUCUCGUGUGCCCCUGGAGAGGGACGCGCAGUGGGUCCCCGGUAGCUCAGGGGGAUAAAUCUCCUGGGGGCAGGCGGCUGUGCUGCACUUCGGGGGCUCUGUGGACAGAGGCCUUCUGCCUGCCUGGGAGCAUCCCUGUGGGGGAGGCACGAAGCGUGCCACAGCCUGCACGAAUAUAGAUAGCAUCUAGUCAUCUCAUAGAGAGCGCCUUAUGUGUAAUGCAGGAGGGCCUGAGGCAGCAUCUGGGCAGGCUGCAGUUCUGUUGCAUAAGGAGAAGAGCAGGAAAGACACGGACCUGUUGGAGGGCCACGGAAAUGAUCCCAGGGCUGGAAUGCCUCCCAGCAAGGACAGGCUGAGGGCUGGGGCUGUGCAGCUGGAGAAGAGAAGGCUCUGGGGAGACCUAUAGCAGCCUGUCAGCAUCUCAAGGGGCUGCAGGAAAGAAGGGGGCAGACUCAUUAGCAGGGUCUGUUGUGAUGAGACAAGAGGAAAUGGUUUCAGAUUAAAAGAGGGGAGAUUUAGGAUGGGUAUAAGGAAGAUGUUUAUAUGAGAAGUGAGGCACUGGCAGAGGGUGCUCAGAGAUGCAGUGGAUGCCUCCUCCAAGGUCAGGCUGAGAAUGGGGCUCUGAGUGCUUGAUGGAGCUCUAGGUGUCCCCGUUCACUGCGGGGAGUGGGACUAGAUGACCUUUAAAGGUCCCUUCCAACUCAUAUGAUUCUUUGAUUCUAUGAAAAAGGUCAUGUCAGGUGUGAUCAGAAACUUGAGUAAUCCUGCAAUCAGUGAUUUGAUUAGUUAUGAACAUUCAUAAGUGGGAAAUUGAAUACAUGAAACAUUGGUGAAUGGAAAUGUGUGAAAUAAUGCAUUAAAUGAGCCUGCAGCACCUCUAUCAGCCCACAGCCUGGCUCAGUGUUGGGGGUGCUCGCAGAGGGUCCUGGGCUCUGCGUACUGCUGUCUUUGGUUCAGCUGUGCUGCAGCAGGAGAUGGCAGAGUUCCCAAUCAGCAGCACCAGGGUGAGAAAUAGAUGUGAUUCCUAUUCUCCUUACCCUGGUGGAUUCCUUCAGAAGUAUGAGUGUUGCUGCUCCUGUGCUCGUUGCAGCCAAACUGUGCACUUUCCUAUCUGUUUCUUAGUUCCGUAGGCACAUAAAUUCUUGGUCAUUCUGGCAAUUUGUCUCUUUUUCAAGAAUACGGUUUUCCCUUUGCUGGUAAUUCUUGUUAUGAACUCGUAGUUCUUGUUCAGCAUUACUCCUGCUGUCUGCGUGGAUGGCUGCAAGGUUCAGCUCUGAAUGUGGCUUUUAAGGGGAUAUGGAAUCACUCUGCUGUCAUCCAGAAAGCUUUAUCCAACCACUAGAUUUCUUUUAGUUCUUCAUACUUCUUUUUCUUUUUUUUUUUGUAGUAUCAUAUGGGGCACGUUGUUUAUCAUUUUCUCCACAGAUCUGUCCUGAUACUGUAAUUAUAAAGUUGUUUAGCUAUCUGUUUUCAUAAAUGUAUCUGUAUAAAACGUUGGAUGUUGUGAUUGUCUUGCCAUAAUGUUACUAGAUGUAUUUCCCAAGCUACUAAGUUUGUUUGGAGAUGAAAAUUAGAUGCAAAAUAGAAAUAUAAGCACCUCCAUUCUGUAAUCUUGCCAUAAUUUUCUCUCUCAUCAAUGUAGUAUCAGUAAUUAAUGCUCCUAGAAACGUACACUUUCUUUGUUGCUAUGGGUUUAUCCAAGAUCUCAGCUAAUCACAGAAUUAUUGUUGCUGUUAUCCUAGUUUUCUUUCAAGUCCCCAGCUGCCUGGUGUGUGAUACUCUGUCUUUUCUGCAACUGGCAAGUCAAUAGCAAAGCUAAUCUGUUUUGAUUCAUAUCAUGAGGAUGCCACAGGAGUUGGAACAACUUCAGUUGUGCAAUUGCUGCGCAUUUAUGGCUCCUACUCUGGAAAAGGAAAAUAGCUGAAUGGAGAGGAGAUGAGAGAGGCUCUGUGCAAUGAGGCAGGGGACUGUCCAGAGUGAGAAUCAAGUGGAGAUAGCCAAGGUUGGUGUGGGGUAACAUGGCUAAGGGGGCGAAUGUGGUAGAGUGGUGUGACUGAGCUGUGCAGGCAGGAGGGCUGCGUGUUCUGUGCUCGCUCAGGUCAGCUGCUUUGUGUCCUUGCAGUGAGAGAGUGGAAAGGACAUGGGGAACAAAGGUGAUAAGCCAUGAGGAAUUGCUGCAGGUGCCGGAGUGCCUGACUACAGCUUUUCUGAUAACACAUUUGCCACUGGAACUUUAUUCCCUGUGUGCUGGAACUGUUUCCUCCUGUGUCACAGUGGUGUUUGGGCUUGUUGCAGCCAUGUUAAGCACAGCAGUGAUGCUCGUGGCAUUAAAUGGGAAUGUGAGCUGUUCUAGACCCCUCACCCAGGAAAGCAGCUGCCCUCGCUGACCAAUUAAAUUGCCUUCCCUCUCAUUAAAACCCUUGUGCAGGCUCUGACAUCUCCUCUAGGCCAUAUUGAAAGACCUGAGCUGAUUGGAACUGCUGAAUCUGUAGGGAGGAUUUCAACACAGCUCUGAGUACUGGGACAUCGGAGCUGUGCAAGGAGUGGGGAGGGAAAUUCAAGCCCUCCCCCCUUCCCUUUGAAUCUGUAAUCACAAACUGGGUGAAAGGCUUAAGGAUUUUGGCCUAGCCCGUUGUCUAGGAAGGCUGGAAAGAUCAGCUGCUAACAUUUCACCACCAACUGUGAAAAGGCAAGGAAGUGGCUGCCGGGGCUGGAGCCUGUGGGAAUCCCUGCUCUCGAGCAUCAGCUACUCUCUCCCACCUACAACAAAAUAACAGGCAGGCGCUCACCGCGAGGCUGGAAGUGUUCUUGGUGAUGGAGCUGAGACACAUGAAUCUACCGAGGGCAGGAGUGAAAGGCAAUUCGGUGCAGAUUUUGUAACAGAGAGGAGGCAUGGAAGAUGGUUAAUGUGACAACAAUUGCUGAGAAGGUCCCCAGGAGUGAAAUGGAGAACUGCAGACCGUCACAUUGGAGUCUGUACAGAGCAACAGGGUGGAAGUGGCAAUGCUGUGGCUGAGGGAGGCAGAGGUUGGCGGCCAGGGGCUGGAGCAGCAGCCACAUCCUCGAGUUGCAGCAGCGCAGUUUGAUGCUGUGGUUGUGCCAGGGCUGGCUGAGAACUGCAGUCCUCUCAAGCUGGUGGAAGAGCUACAGUGCAAUUUGUGCUGUUUUUCCUCGGUGAAGCAGUAGGAGCCCCUGUCAGGCAAGGAGCACAGUCCUGAUGAUGUAGGGAGCAGUGGAGGAUGUGGGCACAGCAGGAGAUGUUGAAGUGCCCCAAAGUGAUGACCAAUCAAUGUUAAACCUCAAGGAGGCUCUAGGGGCCUGAGCAUCCCAUUAUUGAUGCUUGCUGCUAAGAAUAACUGCUUUUUCACCUCUUGUCCACCCCUCUACCAGCCGCUUGAGGCCACCAUUUUAGACUUCAGCUGAAGCUGCAAGGAGUUAGUGAUCUUGUUUUCCAGAGACUAUUUGAAGUAGAAAGAACUGGAUUUUGCCUUCAUUUACGCCUCGAGGAGCUGCCACAGGAGGAGGGGCCAGUGUUUGCCAGCUUGCUCUGCUCCCUGCAGCCCUCACUGGGGAGCCGCGCCACAGGAAAUGCUGAGCAGGAAUCAGGCAUGAGAGCAUCGUGCUGGGUUGGUUUUGCUCUUGGAAACAGAAGGUGGAGCAAGGCACAACGGACAAGUGUCAGGGUCUGCAAUGAAAGCAGGGUCCAUGCCAAGUAGGAUGAAGGACUCCAAGGGGUCACAGCAGAGGACUGCAUCCAUAGAAGCAUCCUGGAGCCACUGGCCACAUGUUGCUGACAUCUGAGAAGAUUUUUAACAUGAUUUUUCACCAUGCAGUUCACCGCUGACACCACUUUCCUCACUGUAGGGUAAAUCCCUUCAAACCAGAGCAGCCUUGUGUGCAUUCUUAGGGGUGACACCCAUGGAGGGCUCGUGAGGGUAUCAAAGCAAAUGGGGGGACUUGAGUGGGGGAGACACCAGAAAGUAGAUGGAUGCCCCUGGGGGGCUUCAGUGGACACACACAGAAAGAAAUGGAGGGUGCUGAGGGCCAUUGAAAGCAGGCUGGGAUUUGUAGGAAAGGUACCAAAAGGCAGAUGAAAAGCUUUAGGGUGACCCAAGAGGCACACUGAAGUCCUGGAAAGCACUAGAAAGGAAACAGAGGGGCUCUGGGGGCACAGAGAACCCCCCAGAGGAGCACUGUUGGAGCAGAAGGACAAACAACAGUGCUGAUUUCCUUCUUGUUUCUCCAGCAAGCUGGAGAACUGCAAAAGCAAACCAAAAGGUCGAGAGAACCAGAGGGAUUUGGGGCAUGAAGACAAAGACCUAGCACCCUGGGGGCACCAAAAACUACAUGUGGGGAUGUGGAUGGCACCAUAAAAGGACAAAAGUCUCUGGGGACACCAAAGAGGGCUCUGGAGGAGCUGCAAAACCAAAGGAGUGACAUGCAUAAGAGAAGUCCUGUAUCUGUCCUUUCUCCUCUCUGCUCUGGCAUCCAGGUUUCAGCUGAAUUUCACAGUAUAAGUGUCCCGAGAGAAUUCCCCUCUCGUUCGUGCUGUGGAAGAGAAACAUUCCUGUUUCCACUCUGAUCUUACAAUGGCUUGUCAGUGACAAAACAUUCCCAAAUCCUCUCAUUUAUCAAAUGGCCAAUCCUGUUAACAGCUUAAGAAACAUAAUUACCUGCAAUCUCUUCUGCUAUUCAUUUUAUGCCUACACUUCCCUCUCGCUGGCAGCUUACCAGCAGGCAAGAUGAGAGCUGAAGCAGGGCUGCAGCCACCGAGCGCUUCAGCAAUGCAAUUUCCUCUAAUCACCUGCACAGUGAUCACGGGAGUUUUGCCUCCCUGUUUGCAGCAGCCAGAAGCAGGUGAGGGAGUAAGGCACGGAGCCAAGAGCAUCAGCUAACAUGCCACCAGAUGUGUGUAGGUUUUCAAGCACGGCUAUGUUUUCAGUGCUGUUCCACCUGUAAGGUGGGAACUGUGUCAGGAUAUGCUUUUAGGGUACAUGUUAUCGCAGCCAGCUUUAUGUGCCUUGGAGACAAAUGUGCAUGGGUGGGCUUGGAGAGAAGCAGCAAGACAGGUUGAUGUGGGCUCUGCUGCUGGGAGUGACUAAUAGAACAUUGUCAGGAAAGCAGAGCCCAAACCAUGAGUGAGUUGGGUGUGUGUGUGUGUGGGGGGGAAUUGGGGUCAGCAGGAGACAGUAGGAGCUCCUGGUUGUUGCACUGCUAAAACGGCCUGAAUUUAUCUUAUUUCAAAGUGCAUCUACAGCUUGUGUGAGAUUUUGCGCUGUCUCAUUUGUAUUGUAUCUCAAGGAGGAUUUAGAGGAGCUUGCAAGCUGGAGAUAUGCUGACUUCCCAAAGCUCGCAGGCAGCACUCUUCCCCUGCAUGUGACGUGUGCAUUGCCCUCAAAUUCAGAGGAUGGCUCACAGCUGCUGUGACCGCAACCAGGACGUAUGUGGGGCUGAGAGCUGCCCACGGGAGCCAGGAGCUGUGCUACAGCUCACCAAGUCCCUUGAUCACGGCUUGCAAGGGCCCACAUACAUCCAUCUGUCUGGAAUGGAGUGGCAAAGCCUCCAUGGUGGCAUUCACACUUUGCGGGUUGCUGGGAUUCUCUGUUCUCAAGGGGAGCAGUUUGCUGUUGUGCACCAUCUCUAGUCUCUUCAGGGAACUGCCAGUUCUGCAUUUCCUUACAGCAUAUUUCCAUCCAAGAGAGCUUCUCCACAGCUUCCCUGAUCUGUCAGACGCUCAUUAUUUUGUUAUUUCCAUUCUCCUGUGUGAUUGUGCUGGUGGGAAGAGACACUCAGGUAGCUUUUCCUUUUGGGAUGUGAAUUAAGGACUAGCCUGAUAGGGCUGCAGAACUGAAAGGGGGCCACUGGAAAACUCCCAAAUCCUUCUGGCGGUGGGACCCUCAGGUGGGACCAAGUGGGGACCGCAGCAGAGAGAGUGCUGCUUGGAGAACAGAUCCAGAAUUGGAUGGGCCUUCUAUGCAGGGCAGCACAUAGGAAGGGGUGAUCUGCAGCAGCCCACCCCCUACACUUUAACACCUCCUGGGAGCAUUCUCCAUGCACGUCAGGACCAAGAUGACAAACUCAGGUCUGCUAAUGCCUUGACUCUUCAGGUUAUAUUCAUACUGUCAGCUUAGGAGAAUGACAACGCUCCCCACCUGCAGAGCCCUGUGUCGAGGUGGGUUUGGCUGGAUUCUCCGCACAGCGGCACCACCCACUCAACUGACAUUUACUGUGCUGGCCUGAAUUCCUUCACUUUUCCCCCAUGGCCAUUUGGAGUCAAGUGCCACUGGAAACACGGCUCCCGCCGGGAGGAGUUUCAGAUGCAUUCAGAUCUGAGACAGUUUUGAAUGUAAUUUUGAGUUUUACAAAGGCUCUUCCGCUCGCCUGCUUGCCGCAAGUAAUGAAGCAGCAAGAUAAAAGGCAAGGCCACGGAAGGUUGUUAAAAAAUUACUUGCAAAUUAAUGUGAGGACAAGGUGUAUGAGUUAAUAUCAUAUAAAGACCCUUAAAAUCGGCGUACAUGCAUGCACCCUCCGAGCACUGACAUUCGCAGGCAGAACUACACUGGUAAACUGAGCCCAAGGGGCUUGAUUAACAGGAAAUUUUCAGAAUGCCAAUUAGAGCAAAGUUUACCGAACAAAUUGUUUGCACUUGUACCCUAGAACCAUCAUGAAUUUUAAUUCAGCAUGGAUUUACGUGGCUGAAACAAUAAUUAAAGAUACAUGAAUGCUUCACGUUCGGGAGACUCCCCCAUGGCUCCACUGCAUUGGGUGGGAGCAGGGUGGCUGGGCAGGGGCUGCUGCUGCCAGGCUGGCAGACGUGGGAUGCACGUGGCUUUUCCCUACAGAUACAUAAGCAGUUUCCCUAGUCCUGAGCUCGCCGAUUUGUGCAGUGUUAGUCUCUUGUUUCCUUAUUCUUUUUUCCUUCUUUUUUUUUUUUUUUUUUCCCCUUUAUGCAGUUUGAUAAAGAAUGAUCCACGGGGUGUUUUCUCAGUAAAUGCUGGCUUGUUGUUUCCUGCCUUUCACUUUUGGUGCUUGGGAGAUGUUAAAUUAGUUCCUCAGCUCCCCUGAAACCAAAGCCUUGUGCAGUAGUUUCGCUGGCCCUGGGCUGACCGAGGGCUCCUUUCUCUCCUCAUCCCCACUCCUCUUCUGGGGUCAGAGGUGGGGAGAAGCCUCACCGCUGCCAUAAUGCACCGAGCAGCUCAACUCAAGGCAAAGCUACCACACAGCAGCAACGAAAAGUCACGAUUGAGCAGCACAAUGUAUAUGUAUGCCUUCAUUUAAAUUCUUCUCUCCCUCUACUAGUGCUGAUAAAUAAGUUACACGUAUUUUUUAGAAGAAGUUAUUUUCUGUCACUGCACUUUUAAAUGUCAAGCUCCUGGAGAGGAGUCUUCAAGAUAGUUUAAGGUCAGUCAGGCUUCAAGGAAGAAAGAUGCAGGUGGAGAAGAAAAGCUGCUGUUGUGCUGUGGUCCAGCCCAAAGCAGGGCUCCACUCUGAGCGAUGGGCAAGCACAGGCACCUUGAGUGGAGAUGGUGCCCAGAGGCAUUGCCCUCCCUGCACCUCAGCACUCACCCUCGGCUAUGGAAUUACCGAAGACUUCUACACAAAGCCCACUGGCUGGAAAUGAUCUAGCCUGUUAGUUCAGGAGCGCUCAUGAAUAAUGUAUGCAUCCAAAGGUCGGUUUACAAAUGAUUAAUUAACCUUAUGAGAGGUUAUCCUCAUUGGCAACAUCAUUCACCCUAAACAGCUUAAUCAUGUCUGCGCAGAACAGCAUAUCUGAAACACAAACAAUUGUAUGAGAAGGAAUAUUGAGGAAUCAUAGAGCAAGGGCCAGACAUCUGCACUGCUCGCUGGAGCAGCGACCGAACGCCAAGCACAGGGAGGACCUGAACCACAUCUCCAGGCUGUUCUGUAGGACUCGAGCAUCACUUGCUGGAACCUGGCGGCUGCAUGGUGGGGUGUAGCUGGCAAGGUGCAGAAAUUGCACCUUCGCUAAGGGCCGAACCCAAGAAUGACAGAGGGAUGUCUGAAGCACAACUUUGAUAUGGCACAAAGCUCUAAACUGAGGACAGUCAUCCCUACAAACACCUUCCAGCCUCUGUGCCUCAACGCUCUUGCAGAAAAAUAUGGAUGGAAGCAACUCCUAAAAUCCCCAACCACAGGAAACAAAAUUGGUGUUUUUCCAAGUUAAGUACUAUAACAGAGUGAAACAUACAUGUUUAAUUUGAAAAUGUUGAUUCCAAAUGGAUUUUUCUUUUGAAAAAACUUCCCCCAAGCAAGUCAAUAUUUGUAAUCAAAUUGAAAUUUCCUGUGGGAAUUAUUUAUUUUCAUGAGGUCUAAUUUUUACAGGGGAAAAUUCUGCACAGGAAGGUUUAAGUUGCUGUAAACCAGCGUUAGGAAUCUGGGUGGUAGGAGGGGGGCUGGGAAAUCCCACUCUGUGCUGCAAAGUGUCACCACUUCCCUGUGAUGGAGGUGAUGUGAUGAAAAAGUUGGAACUCCUCUUUGAAGAGGGAAAAGCAUGAGCAGAAAGGUGAGAAAUUGGGAAGGAAGGAGCAUUCAGUUCGCUAGAUUUUUCCUCCCCCCUUUAUUUCUUGAGAACACAGCAGUGUGGGAUAGGACUCACCACGAGCAACGCUAGAGAUGGAAGUGAGAUACCCAAGAUGGCUGUUCUGAGCCUCCUGUGCUGGGGCGCCCUGUAGUUCACCUACCCUUAUUCUGCCAUCUGUUGGAAGAAGUGGGUCAUGCCAUUGACUUCAGUUGCCUUGAGGAGACACGGGGAUAAGAGCAACUGGUCCACGUCCACUGUAACCAUACAAAUCCCACCCACAGUGCUUGACGUGUUCAGGGGUACAGGGGGAGUGUGCAACCCUGUGCCUUGUGCAGCCGUUACUACACUGAUGGGACUCUCAGCCAGUUCUCCAAACCUCAUGAGAAGAGAGCAUGUUGGUCUUCCAGCAUCUUCAAGGAAGCCCUUCAAAGACAGUUGUCAUGGCUUCAUCCUAAGGGCGAUUUUCUUGUAGAACCUGUGUCCACUGUAGAGCAACGACUGUGGCUAAUGAUGUGCAUAAUUUACAUUAUUAUACCUUUCAUUUUUGUAUUAUGAUAAAUCACCUACCUUCCCAUUUCUUUUUAUUGUGAUGUGCUGGGAACACAAUAUAGCAGGAGGAAAACAAUACAGCGCUGCCCCUGUCAGUCUCAAACACAGAAGCAGCACACCCAUGCUACAAACACUCACAGAUGCACAGCACCGUAUCAGAUUAUUAGCUCCAAGGCAACUGUCAGCAUGCAGUUUUAUUGGAAAUGAAAACAAGGUAAUUCAAGAUUUAUUUUCUCUCUAAGGAAGUGCCAGGAGGCAGGAGCCAGCCCCCGGCAUCUACCGUAAAACACCCGGCGCAUGGUAACGUGCUGCUCCUCAAGCAGAGCUCCUGGACUGGGGAUUUUUUGAGUGAUCUCUUCCAAAAGAGGAGAAUUCUCCUCCUUGUCCCCAGACUGUAUCCUGAAGGGAGUGAUGUAGAUUGAGUGACUUGAGUUUUGCUUUACCUAAAGGGAGAUAAAUGCACCCUACACUACUGUGGCUGCAGGCACAGCUCCUGGGAGACCUCGGGUGGCUCUUAAUCACAUAUCCUUGAAGCUUCAGAAACAUACCCUGAUUAUUUUCCGGCUCAAAGCAUUCAUUGCCUCCAGGAUAUUACCAUCUUUGCCCCCUUUCUAAUGGUUGAGGGUGAACUGAUUACCAAAUUAAAACCCUUAUUAGCAGCUAUCUUGGUAUGUCGUGCCCUGAUUUUAUUGCUGUGCCCAAAAGUGAUACGUGCCUGGGCACCAAGACAGGCACAUGCUGUGCCCAAGCUGAAAAUAUUUAGGAACUGGUAGGAAAAUCACAGGAAAUAUUUCUGAGUGAUUAAUUUAGAGUCGUUGAAGACCGUUCUAAAAGAUGCUCUAAAUGUGUUCAUACCAGCUGCACUGGUUAAAAAGGCAAUGGAAAAAUACACCUUGGUUAGAUGAAAGGUGAAAGAAGCAAUAAAAACGCAUAAAACAACCUAUAUAAUAAAUGGGAUAAGAGCAAACCAACAGCAACAAUUAUUGGUCAGAAGGCAAGAGAUGCGAACAGUGCUUGACAAUAAGCUGUGUCAUGAAAAGAGCCUUAAUGGAGAUGGAGAGGCAGCCUCCACGUCCGGGUGUUUGGGUUCGCAGCGAUGCUGGCAGUCCUGCAAAGAGGGAGCCCAGCAGGGCUGCUCCGGUGUGUCGGUAAUUUCAAAUGGAGGCUUGCUGUCAUGUUUUGGACUGUGCUGAACUGUUAAUGAAACAUGCCUGCCUCCCCCUAGGUGUGUGUAUUUCUUUAAAAUCUGAAAAACAAAGCUUGGAAACCUAACUCUUCAGACUAAAAUGAGAAAAAAAAGAAAAAAAAAAAAAGCUUCUUUUCUUAGUGUGUCAUCAAUCUUUUUUAAAGGUCUUCCCAGCUCUAUCAUCACUCAGAGAUGCAGGAAGAAGAUCCUGCAGGGCACUGUGGAAAGAUCCGCAUCCAGCAGUACUGUUUGGACAGUCGUACUCGACCAUCAUUUCCCAAACGUGAGAUGUUCAACUGCUGCUCAGGAUGUCCCCACCAAGGGGAGCAUCCCUCCUUGGACACUGAUCUCUGCAGUCCUGAUGCUGAAUUAUUCUGGGAAGGAGUAUCAGGGGAACAAAUUAGUGAGGUGUUCUUACCAGAAAAUCCCGUGGCUACAGCUACCUGCAAGCAACAGGGCCCAGAGACUUGUACUUCCCUAUUCUGAUGCCUAAGCUUGAGGUUUGCCAGCACCUCUUGGUGAGCAGGAAGCUUCCAGCUGUGUUAGCUCUUCUGACAUGGCAAUUGCUCCAAAGGAGUUUCUCCAUCCUCCCUAUCUUUGCCUUAGUGGAAGGCUGAGAAGCCCUUGGCUGACAGCCAUUCCAAUACAUCUUGCAGGUAAUCCAUAGUUUCCUGGGUCAGAGCAGCUUCUCAGCAGCAAUCCUCUACUCUUAAAGUCAGUCCCCUUUCCUAGGUGGGAUACUUCUGCAGCACAAUCCCGUGUUCUGCCCUGGGUGAAGUUAGCCAGGACUUUGCACUCUCAAGGUCUUCAUCCAAAGCAGAAGUAACACAGCAAAAUGGACGUCAUGCUCAACCAAGAAGUAGUUGACACUAUCAGGACUUGGAGGAAUUAAAAUAAAUGACCAAAGUAAUUUUUGGCAGAGGACUCGAUUUCAAAGGACAAUGCACUGUCCAUUCUUCCCAGGGGAUGUUCUGGGAUAGACCUGCAUGAGUAACCUACAGCCAUUUUGAGCCAUCCCCUACUGCCCUCAGCAAGAACUUUCUGACCAAAACUUCAGGUGGAACGUACCAGCUAAGUGUGCUCAAGAUAUAUCACCCAAAGGACUGACACCACCAGCAGGACCAAAAGGAUGAUGUGUUCAGCAUGCUCAGGUUGGGCUUCGUGCCCAAAGGCAGCUGGUUUGUCCUCAUGGGGCAAGUCCUGCAUUGCCCAGGAAACACACUGUGCAAAUCCAUCGUGGAGGCUAGAACACAUCCAUGCAUGGAUCCUGAAGACUAACCUUGUCCCCUUCUCCAGGUGCCUGGGAACCUUGGCCACACACACGUACAGACCAGCCAGGUGCUGCAGGAAGCAGCAGGAUGAUAGAUGGCAGCUGCAAGCUGAGAGGUACAUGCACAAAACCCAUUUUUUUCUCCGCAAGGUUCAAAUAUUUUUGCUCCAUCUGAGGCUUGGAUCCAGGUUCUCCUGCAUGGCAGUCAGAGAUGCUGGAAAAGGCUCAACAUUAGAGCUCAGGAAUGGGGGCUCAGGUUCUGUUCCCCAGCUUAGGGCAGUGCUGGUAAAGAUCUGCCCUCACCCAGGCGCCUGGGAAGCUUUUGGCUGCUGCUGGCAUUAGUGCAGAAAGCAAGAAGACAUUUACUUCCAGGAACAGAUGCAAACACAGGGAAUUGCCAAUUGGCCAAAAUCAAAUACAACCUGACCUCUGAUGAUCUGCAGCCUUACUACUUUCAAACAACACUGCACUCAAUAUUGGCAAUAUAAUAGUUUACCUUGGAGACCCAAGGGCUAAAGGAGAAAUGAAACCUGAAGCUGCUGGAGAUGUUGCUUUUCCACUGUUUCUAUUACCGAUAACAGGCCAGCAAAACCCCACGAGGUUCUUGAGCUCUAGGAGAGCCUGCCUGCACCUCCUCCCCAAGACUUCGUGCCAAAAUACCCCAAAACUUAAGAGCUGGGCUUCAUCAGAGCACCUGAUAAAUAUAGAAAGUAGAGAAUGAUCUGGAAUAGUGAUGUUCUACCCUGGGAGGAAGGUCCUUUCUUUUGGGUUUCCUUUCAGUCCUGCAACCUCCCAGCAAUCCCCUGGGUAAUCACAAAGCCUUGCUGCCCCCAGAAAAGCCCCUUUCUUUCCUUUGAAGGGGAGCUGACACCCACAGGGAACAAACCCUAAGUCAGAAAUAAUGGGAGUCCUUUGAAAAAAACCAAAAACAUCCGAGUCUGAAUAUAACCACAAGGAAAAAAAUGGAAACUUAUCUGCAAUAUGCACCCCCUCCCAAGCAAAUUAAUACCCUGGACCAGAGCCUUGUCCAGAAGCAGUGUAAAUAUCUCAGCAACUCAUUACCUUGUUAAUUGGAUCACUCCAAGCUUUUUGGAACCAGUCUAAAGCACAGUCAAAUCCAUUAAAAAAUGGAUUUCUUAUUUCUCUAUAGCUGUCUCUAGCUUUAGUGCUUUUUCUAUUAAACAUUGGCUAGAGUAGCUUCUCCCUUUACCUCAACUCUUUCCCAGCAAGGCACUUCCUACAUUUUUGAUGUGUGCCCUUCUUCCUGCCCCCGAGGUGCCGUGUGGGUGCUGGUAGGGUACGCUGGGAGCAAUAACCCUCCUCCUGCCAAACUGCCCCUCCUCAUCCUGUUCCCACAUCCUGGGAUCUCCCUCACUUGGAUGCUCCAACCCCAGCACAGAGGAGAAAUGCAUCCGGGGACACUCUGAGCUGCACUUUGCACUUAUUUCCUAAGAAACUAAAGAUGUGUGUGGGGGGGAACCAACACAUUGCUUCCAUCCCCUGUACAAACCUUUCACUUACCAAGGCAUCCACGUGCUUGCCUACUGAUUAAGAGCACUAGGGCCACUGUGUGAGAUUGGACACGACAGGAGCAUAAGGGGAGCCAUAUGCUCCGCCAGGAGAGGAGCAUACAGCCAUUAGGAGGGGGGCUGGUGCUCAGGGCCAUGGCUGAAGCUGCAGGGAUGUGGGUGCUGCUCCCCUCACAGUUCAGCCUUUCACAUCCCCAAGGACCAGCGAUGCCCUCACUGAGGGCAGUGCAAGGAGGUGGCAUCCAAGUACCAACCAUCUUUUGCACAGAGGGAGCCCCUCCAUUUGUUUUUCCAGGACCUAGCAGCCCAGCCUUCUCCUUGCCCUAUGAAAAAACCACUUGGCCUCCCUGCAGCAUCAGCAGCGCUGGGUGAUGGGACCCAGGGCUCCUGCUUCAGGCAUCCUCAAACUGCCACCAUGUCCCUAAGGCAGAGCACAGCCAGGGCCAGGCAAAAAGUCCUCCCACAACUGCGCUAAAACCUUUUAACAGCCAAGAACCAUUUUCUGCAUGGCGUGUCAAGCAGUAAAGCUGUUGAAUAGGCAGGGCCAGGGGUUGGUUUAGAGUGUAGCAGCACGGAAUGCCUUUUUCCCAGCAUCUGUGGUGGUCAGGGAAGUCUUUAAGCCCCUUCACUGUUUUUCUGGCAGCACCUUCCCACAUCUGCGGGUCUGCACAGUGAACUGUAUCACUGGCACAGCUGGAGUUAAUUUUGACUUCUGAAAGAGGGAAGGAGGAUUAUGUUUAUAUAUAUGCAUAUAAAAAUGUGUAUUUUUAAACACAGGAAAUCCUGGUUCCUCCCUGGGGCUUGGCUGGAUGGGUCGCAGGGCCAAAGGAAAUGCUCUGCAGCAGCACCCUGCAUGCCAAGCACUUUACCAGGGCAGGUUUUUGCAGCUGUUGGGCUCCUUAUGUCCAUACCCAGCCUGCAAAGCACCCCGUGGCAUGGUGGGGAUAAACCUUGGUGAACAUGGCUGUCAUUGUGCUGCUGGAUGCGUGCCCUGAGGUCUCACCACAUCAUGCCAUGUGCUGGUGCUGCUGCUUGGCCAUCCAGCUGCUAUCCUGAGGGGAGCACAGAACCAUCCCCACCUCCUUCCACUCACCUCAACACCUCUCCGUUGUCCAGAUAAAGGAAACAGCAGAUGGUGUCCCACUGAGACCUGGUGUUACCCCUCUCUGUGCCCAGCAGGACAGCAGUGUCACAGCAGAGAUACCAUGGUCUCCUCCAGCCUUCACCACAUUCCAGGCCCCUCAAAUCCAGCAGCAUGGAAAAACCUGCAAGAUGACAGAGAGCCCUCUUAUUCCUGCCGUAAUUAAUCCCUUUGGAAUUCAAUUAAUGAGCUCCCUGCUGCAGCUAUCAAGCCUCCAUCAGUUAGGCAAACAGGCGUGCAAGGCAGGCUGGGUCUGUAUGAGCACAAGACAAAUAUUUCAGCACGUCCAGAUAUAGCCCAUCCUUCUGCACUCUGUGCAGCUCAGCUUUAAGGUGUUACCCACUGGUGGGAACUUCAGGGCUCUGGUGGUGAUUGGAAGAACCUGUGCUCCCCUCUCACCCACCCUGACCGGAGAGCACCUGCCAUGGGAAUGGGCUGGGAUGUGCACUAGCAAUGGUGAACAACAGCCAACACUGCUGCCUUAUUUUUAUGGCUUUCUGACUUUUUCUACAAAUUUGGCUGGGCUGGAAGUGUGACCACUGAUGUGUUCUGAGCUGCUCUCCUAGGAUUUUGGAAGCGGGAGUGCUCGAUUCAGGCCACACAUUGCAGGACACCCAAUUUCAAACCCCAGCUCCUACAGUCUCAUCAGCUUCCCAGCCAGGCUGUCUGCUCAUCCAUCCCCGGUGCCCACCAGGGCCCAACAGCCCCAUAUGUGUGGGGAUGAACAAGCAGCAGCUGCAGCUCUAGUCUGGAGAGCUCAUCCCAGGGGUGCAGUUGAUGGAGCACCCCACUCCUGCUGCAGUGCUGGGAACUGCACGCUCCCACCACGAUGGAUAUUUCCCAUCAGCACACUCUAUUCAAAAUGAAACCCAUUAUGGCAAAGAAAAAAAAAAUCUUUAAUGAUUGUGCUGCAUCAACAUGAAUGAUGUCACAUGUCCAGACUGCCUCGGAAAGCACUGAGUUGCCAAAAGAUGGUGAAUGUCUUCAAUAUGGAGAGAGAGGGACCAGAGGAGAGGCUAAAACUGAAACUUUCCAGCUAUGCUGUUGAUACAUGUCCUUAUUUUCUUUUGUUGGAUAGCAUGCUCUGUUUUGUUUUGAACACAGCGUUAUUGCAGCAGGGCUUUGUUAGCCCCUGGGGUGGAUGCAUGGAAGUUGGCAGCACCUGCAUCCCUGCUCCCACCUCUCAUUUGCCCAGGAUAACCUGCAGCUUGGGCUCGGUGCAGACGUAGACCAAGAACCUGGUGGUUCUGUGUAACCUCAUCUCUCUCUCUCUCUAUAUAUAUGUGCCAUACGAACCCUAUUGCAAAAAAUGAUCAAUCCUUUUAAUUACUGAAUCUCAUGCAGUUCUUGAGAGCAGUGCCCUUGCACACUGAUGGCUUUGCCCUGGGGAAAGUUUGGGGUCUCUCCAGCUGCUCCCACCAUUGCUCGGUGUCACAAUCCAGGACACAGGUAACACGAGACCCUGCUGAAAUGCAGAUGGCAAUGCCAGAAGGCACCGAUGUGAGGCAUGGAUGCCAAGCAGCAAUUUGUUCUCUGUCAGGCACGGCCUCCCCAGCCUGGCCAAGCAAGAAGUGCUGCACUACAGGGGUGAAGGCAUUAUUUCUUACAAAUGCCCUUUUGGAACCCAAAUUUUCACAUUUGUACACUCAUAUUUUGCAGUAGAGAUGGAGUGCAUCAUUUCCCUGCUUAAACAUCAUUUCAUUUGUAUUGCAUCUGGAUUCAUAAUGAAAUGAGUGUCGCAGCGACCCUGGUAAUUUUAUGGCUCUUUUACCAAUAUUCUGCUUGAGUCAUGGCGGUUUGACCGAGAGGAAAAUCCUGAAUGUCCAGAGCAACCCACAGCCUCACAAAUCACGAACCAAACCUUCCUCGUCACCUCCCACCCACUGCGACCCAACAAAUCAAAACGUCUCACGACUUUUUUAGAGAAUAACAAAGGCAAUAAACUUCUACAUCAAAGGCAAACCCCAGGCUCCCAAACUGCUUUUGGAAAUGCAUCUUUUUUCCAAGCUCAUAAGAAGUACCACACCACCUCUUUUUUUUUUCCCCCUGUCAUUCCUGUAAAAUAUUUAGUGCUUUCUCUUCCCAAAUUUAUAAACAAGUUGGCUGAUUGUGCAGAUGAAAACUGGUUUAAAAAUUAAUUGAAAGCCUUUAAAAAUUAAUAAUUAUUUCAGCUAAUUAAGGGUGGCAGCUUAACAUCUUUUAAACUGUUAACAAUUUGGUAACUGCUGUGUGCAGUGCUGUUGGAAUAGAAAAUGGUGGGGACCGUGAGCUGAAAAAAUGUAGUCUUCAGUGUUUCAGACCCCGAGCAGGUUUUGGGCCCUUCUGCAUCGUCUGCGUUAUUAUUGGCAGCACUACCACAUCUAUCAAAAAAUGGAUCUCUACCAUCAUCGUUUUGCUAGAAUUUCUCAUGUUCCAGAUAAUUUAAAAUGCUUUCUUGUUGUCCAUAACGCAUUUGGAUACGGGUUUUUUAAAUGGAUACUUUCACUUCUCUCAUCAAUUGUUCUUUAUUUCAUAGCAUCUGAUUUUUAAUCACAACCAUUACCUUCCUCCUUUCCCUGAUUUGUUACUUAUUAUCUGCAGCUUGGCUCGCUCCUCUCGCUUCCAUUUUUUGCCAGGAUUUGUUGUGAUCUUUCCUUUGUGAUCAUCAUAAAUACGCUUGUCAGGAAGGAACUGAAACAAAGAGCAUUUAUAGCUCUGAGAAUUUGAGAGUUUUCUGUUUUCCAAUAAAUCAGUUGGCAGAGCUGUAAAAACGUGCAGCAUGUGUGAGAACUGACUGUUGGGUUUGGCUGUAAGGGCUUCCAACUCUUUAUUGCAGAUGAAUUAGGCAGUUGAUACCCAUGGCAUCUCUUGCUGUUGCAGAGCCCAUCAAUAGGGGAUACUUGGCCCAACCUUAGCACCAAAAACCACCUGGGUGUACCCUAUAAUGCAAAAGGGCCUGUAUUUAGAAUCAUGGAAUCAGGAUUGGAAAAAACCACUAAGAUCAUCUAGUCCAACUAUCAACCCAUCCCACUAUGCCCACUAAUCAUCUCCCCAAGUGCCACAUCUCCAUGGCUCUUGAACGCCUCCUGGGACAGUGACUCCACCAUUUCAACCCUAAAUCCCGUGCUGUGUACUAAAGGCAGCCCUCUGUUUCCUGUUUGGACCUGCUGUGCCAUGUAGACCUCCUUCUGCUCUGAGCUCAUGUUGCAGCCUGGCCCCGCGCUCCCAUCUCAGGAGUUUCCUGAUGGAUCCCUUCCCGAAGCUUCAAACCAGAACUAGAGUUAAGAGGAGCCAACACUCCUUAUGGGGAGGUGCUGCAAGGCCAGAGGGACCCCAAGCAUCCCACUGCAUCUCCGAGGAUGCUCUGCCUUUCGCUGCUCAGUUAUUCCGCAGCCCAUCCAGACUCUACAAUGCCCUUUGGCAGAAGUUUAAUUAUGCAAAAUUGUUACGAAAAAGCAUUUCUUUUGCCUGGUUCACACGUCCUCCUUCCUGCCAGCCGCUCCCAGCCCUCAUCUUUGCUGCCUUCCUCUGCAUCUCCCCUUCUUUCUCGUUUCCUCUCUUUGCUUUCCAGUGGAGGGAACAGAUUUGUGAGCAGUAUUUAAGUAGCAGGUGAAUUAUUGAUCUGCUCAAUGACAAAUUGAUCUCUUCUGUUGUGUUUAACACUUUUAUUUUCCUCUAAAAAUUUCCACGCUCAAUUUACUUUUUAGGCCAUCACAGAUCGCUGAGGCGAUGUUUUCAUAACACGAUGGCUGUGCAAGGUCCAAGUUAUCUUUCCUGGGCAGUAACAGCUCAUUGAAGGCUCACGACUAUUUAAAGUACAAAUAGAUGGCUUCACCCGUGCUCAUCAUUUUGCACAUUUCCUGGAUUCCCUCUUAUUUUACUGUCCAGAGGUGUUCGGCUGCAGCUUUUCACCAUCAGCUCUGACUAUUGAGGUGUUUGGGGCCCUUUUCAGUAUUAUCCUCUUUUGCACAUUCAGGCUCUGAUCCCACACCUCGACCCUCCCCGGCCCUCCACAGCUCCUGCUGCUGAGAUGAUAGACAAAAAGGGUCAAUUAUGCGAUUUCUAUACCUUAGAAAGCUGCUAAUAAAAAAAGGGCUCCCCUUUAUCGUAGUUUUAAGUUUAAUUUGUCAUCUUGUGCUCUUUUUUAUUUUCCUCAUUUGGACGUGACUUCCACUUUCUGGAGGAUACUAUUUUACCUCUGACAAACUCCUUUAGUCUGUUCUUUAAUGAGAACAGCUAAUUUUUUGCCCUUUUAAAGUCUCUUUUGAUAAUUGUAUAGAUCUACUCUCAUCAUCUAAUAGAAGAUCUUUAAACAAUGUCUAUGUCCCCUGGAAGAAUUUUACCCUUUUGACAGCUGCUUUUUAAUUUCUUUUUAACAAGCCUCACCACUUUUAUGUGGAUUGCCUUUUUGAAAUGAAGUCGCAAUGAACUUUUCCAUUUUUUUCUUUCUUUCUUUUUUUUUUUUUUUAAGAAAAAAAAGUCCUACAAUGCCACCGACUUUAAGUACAUGAUGGGCACUUUUAGAGAGGCUCUUCAAUCACAUUUUAAAUUAGCCCUGUGGCCUGCACAGGAUUGAAUCUACCAUUGCUUCUCCUGGCUGUCCCAAGAAGGAGCUAUUUUUAGUGUUGUUUGGACAUUUAACCAUUUUGCUCAGGGAGUAUUCCAAGUCCCUCAGCACGGAGCUGGUUUCCACCCUGUUCACACAGCUUUCCCCAGUCACACCCCCAGGCAUCACCCAGCCAAUAUGCCAUGCUCAUCCAUCCAAUCCCAACGCUUUCAUCCCAACACCUUUCACCUUUGCAUCCUUAGCACUCUCCUCUGCAUACCUGGCCACCAUUGGGAUGCUCCGCAUAGGUCUCACCUCUGCAGGAUGCCCAUAAAGGUAUCCUGGUGGCGGCCCAGGUCUCACCUCUCCUCCAACUGCUUCUUCUGCAGGUCUGGGACCUCUUUGGUGGCAACCCAGAGUUUCCAUUAUUCAUCGAGUGUUAUUCCUGAUAAGAGAGACAGUGUUAAAAAGCAAUUAAAAUCCUCAGGUUGUGCAUUAAAAGAAAAAAAAAGAAGUAAUUUAAAACUCUAAACAUGCUUCUGACAUUUUCUAAAUUAAAAAUCAGACCCUUCCUCCACGUUUUUCAGUUCAUAAAAUUUAAUCAGUGUUACCAUUUUAAGGGAAUAUUUUGGACUAAGCAAGAUGCAAAUUUUUUGAAGGAUGGGAAGGAGCACUGUUUCAGGUUUCUGGUUAAACCUGUGACUUCCAUCCCGCUCCGUGCCCAGGAUCACCAUCUGCAGAUGGCACCACGGGCCCCGUGCCAGCAGGAGGGCUGCAGAAAUCCCUCGGUGCCAUCCCUGCUCUCCUAUUCUAGGCUGAACGCAGGAUUAUUUCCUGGUCUCAUCAUUUUCUCUGAGCUUUUUUAUCACUGCUAAAAGCUGUCAAGAGCAUUCGGCCACAGGGAGGAGGGAGAAAGGCAGACUAGGAGGACUGUGUUGCAGGAGAGGUGUGCUAAGGGGAGCGGAAUGGCUGCAAAACUUCUUCCCCUAUCAAUUGUGUGAUUUCUUACGCCACAGGCCCAUGGAAGAGCAAAUCUGUAGAAAGCCAUGCUAACUCAUUAAAAAGAAAAAAACAACAACAAAGCAAAACAAUAACAAAACACACAAAAAAACCAACCCAGCCCAAGAACCCCACAAAGCACUUGGAUCCUUAUAGGCCACUGAUUGUGGCUGUGGUCAGAGGAUACAACCCCCUCUGUGCAAUCACUUCCUUUUGUUUGCAUGGCCCAUGUUCAGACCCCAGGCUUUAGGGAUAAAGCAGAUUUUCUUCUGAUUAAAGACGUUGGUAAGAUUAAAGAUACACAGCUGAGGAGCAAAGCUGCAAAGCAAAGAUCACUUGGUAACUUUUCAGCUUGCAAUGUGUGUAUUUUUCAGUUGCUUCUCCUGUUUUUGAAGAUGCAAACUGGAGAAGGCAAUAACCCACUGCCCCUGGUCCUGGUUGGGUCUUAUCUUGCUGCAAUUCCCAGCACUUGUCUCCAUCCCACAAACUUCCCCAUCCAACAGCAAAGGAUCCUCCACCUUCCCAGGAUGUGUUUUUACCCCAGGGCAUGGUUUUACCCCAGGGCCAUGGGCAAAACACACUCCUCUCACAUGCUUUUGUGUCCAGGCUGGUUGAACAGGCAGGUCAGGGUGCCCCUAUCAUCCCUCAAGCCAGGCACACAGGUGGAGAUUGCAGGGUGGUACCCAUGGGAGUUGGGGACAUCCCUCCGGUUGUGUGCACAUGGGCAUCCCCCAGGACAUAGAUGUGAGUGGAGCCACUCAAGUGCUGUCUCUCCAUCCUCUCUUCACCCUUCUUAUGCCCACAGGGCAUGAGGCCGCUUGGUAGCAUCUGCCCAGAGCAUGAGCUGCGUCAUUGCCCCCAAAUGGCUGCUGUGGGUUCUCCAGCCAAACAAAGCAGGUGCCCGCUGCCUGAAUUUGUCCAAAAAGCCACCCAGGCUUCAUGUCCCCUGCUCUACUUGUGGUAUCCUGAUGUGGGACAGGCAGAGCAUCCUGUCCUGCCUGCGCUGUGUCACCGCACAGUGCUGCUGAAUGACUGGUAGGCAUCUGAGCAACAUCUCCCAGCCCUGAGCAGUCAGUACGGACAUGGAACAGUACGGGCACCCAUCUCUGACUCAGCAGAGAUCCCAAGCACAGGGAGGUGCCGCUGGGAGCUCUUGGCAGCAUUACAUGGUCACAGAUCAUCCUUUACCUGCUGCCAGUCUGCCCAAACCAAAAAGAGUCGCGAUCAAAAGAGUUGCAGAGCAGAAAUUAGAAGGGUUUAGGAACGGCUCCCUCACAACGCAUCCCUGCUGCACCCGGUCCCCGCGGUGUGUCCCUCUGUCGCUCUGUCCUGCUGCCUGCAGCCCUGCAGCUCCUCGGAGGCACCCACACGGCUCCGCUGCCUUUAAUAGAGAAACCUGACACACGCACACGGCGAGCGCACGCAGAUCAAACAGAUGCUGCCUGUCACAGAGCUUAAAGCCUAAUUACAGGAGAUUACAGAAACUAUUUAUAAAUAUUUAUACCCAUUUAAAUAUAUUUAUAAAUGUAUCAGGAUUGGAUAAAAGUGUAUAUUGUUAUUUUAGCUUAAGACAGCCGAAUAUCACUUAUACAAUACUCAUACAGUAAUCAUAUAUUUGUAUUAAGCUUCUUUUUGAUUAACAUGGACAGCAUCUGCUAACAUUUGAAUUGCUGUUAAUACAAAGUAGGUUGGCACCAAUAUGCUAAGGAGAACGGGUGGCAGACAGUAAGACGUCUGGAGGCAACAGAACAAACAUAUCAGAGCAGAAAACUCUCCCCCUUCUUAGGCUGGGUAGAAAUCCUCCUGCUUCACCAACUAGGAUGCAGGAAAUAUAUAGUGAGGGUUAUGAAUUUUGUUUUGGCAGUGAUUUGAUGAAUCACUGUGCCUUCCCCAUCAUUUGCUUGCACUGCAUGUGUGAGCACCCGGGGUGGUGGAACUGCUCCCACCUUGCGUGGUUCUCUGCAGGAGUACCAACACUUCCAGCACCUAAAUAUGGUCCUCUGUCACCCAGCGGCCAUGUGUCCUUCUGCAGCUCAUGUUGGGAGCUAUGGAGCAAGUUGACCUCUGUGCCAGGCUGAGCUGUGCUUCUUGCUCUGCAGCAGCUUCAUUCCUCUGUCAGAAGCUUGGAAAAGUCUCCAUUAGGAAAGUCAGACCCAGAGUGACACAUUUCUGGGACUUAUGGGAAAUCCAGGAUUUGGGGCAGGAGAUGAAUCUUUUCCUGUGUUCUUACUGAAAGCACGGCGGAGAAGACUCAAGCCUCACCUGUGGUGCUCAGCAGGGGCUUUCUGCCUGUUGGUGCACACCAAGGUGUUGGUUGGCAGCCACCAACCUGCAUGGAGGUCAGGACAGGGCUGAUGGGUGUUCCUGGAGGGAUGUGGGCAUAGUGGAGGGGAAAGGAAGGAGAUAUGUGCGAAAAAUGGGGAUGGUGGGCAGGGCUGUCUCAUAGAAGAUGCAAGAUAAGCUUAGGAACAGCUCAAACCCAGCACGAAGACCUGUCCAGGCGCUUGCCAUGCAACCAACCUGCUGCCGCAGCUCAGGGCUUCAGUGGCCAACCUCCAUCCCCAAGGUGAGCCACUGCCAGCCCAUCCCUGGCUCCUUCCCCACAUCCUUUCUUCUUUUCACUCUGGAGAAGACAAAGCAGGAUCCUUGCUCCUCACUCCCGGUGGGGCGGUUUUGAGCAGGACAAUCCCUUUGGUCAGGCAUCAAAUACCAGCAUGCGAGCCAUCUGCUUCUUUGACUGAAACACCCAGCGAAAAGCUGCUGGAUUGGAAAAAGGAUAUUAAUCUGAAAAGCAUAUAACAAAGCGACUGCAGGGUGUUCCCCCCCCUCGAGCCAGAGCGAGUGAGGGAAAGCUGAUUACCAUGACACACAGGAGCCCUGAUCUAAUAUUCCACUUCAAGAUUUGCAAAUAAUGUGCCCAUUAACAUUCAUUAGCUCUUUAAAUAAUACCUGCCAGGCCUUCCAGGCAAGGAGGAAAGGCCCCUGCGCCCAGAAAUCAAUCACGCAAUGGCCUCUAAUUGUGUGUUUUCCACAUUUACUCAAAGCUUCCGUAAAACACGGCCAGGACCAUGCAAAGCUGAAGCUGUCACUCCGUGUGCCCAUGUGCAGGGCUGGCUGGAAGUGUCCUCCCCAUCCCAGCUGUGGGAUGAGGAUCCCUGCUGAUCAGCGGCUGCUCCCCGACAGAGGGAAGGCUUUGCAGGAAUGUGUGACAGCAGCCUCACACUGCCAGAAAUAGCUUCUGUCCUCCACCAUCAGUGCAGUCUGUGGGGAUAAAGCAGUGGGAAGGAAGAGGCUGGUGGCAUGUCCCACGAGGUGACAUUUCGCUUGAGUUCUGGCAAGUGGCUCCAUGGUGCUGCUGUGCAAUUGGUGAAUAAACCUAAGGUUUAGAAAUUGAGACCGAUACCCGAAGUCUUGCUUUCCUUUGCUCCACUCACUGAGAUGCAGAAACCUUCCUCAUCCUUCAGCUUCUCCUACCUAAGGAUACUAAGGUCAGGCUGGACAGGGCUCCGAGCACCUGAUGGAGCUGUAGGUGCCCCUGUUCAUUACAGGGGAGCUGACAGGGAUGACCUUUUAGGGUCCCUUCCAACCCAAAUGAUUUGAUGAUUCUGUGACUUUCUGGAACCCACAGGAAGGCAAUGUGGGCCCAGCCUGAAGUCCUGCAACUCAUUUGCACUCCAAAAAAUCACAGAAUCACAGUGUCACAGGGGUUGGAAGGGACCUCUGGAGAUCAUCCAGUCCACCUCCCUGCUAAAGCAGGUUCCCUACGGCAGGUUGCACAGGCAGGCAUCCAGGCAGGACUUGAACAUCUGCAAAGGAGAUUCCACCAGCUCUCUGGGCAGCCUGUUCCAGGGCUCUGCCACCCUCACAGGAAAGAAGUUCUUUCUCAUGUUCAGGUGGAACUUCCUGUGUUGCAGUUUGUGCCCGUUGCCCCUUGUGCUGUCGCUGGGUACCACCACACAGAGCCUGGGCCCUUCCACUUGACUUUGGAUACUUAAAAGCAUUCAUAAGGUACCCUCUCAGCUUCUCUUCUCCAGGCUGAAGGGUCCCAGGUCUAUCAGCCUUUCCUCGUAAGAGAAACACUUCAUGCCUCCAGUCAUCUUUGUAGCCCUUUGCAUUCAGUAAUUCUGAAAUGGGAAUUGCAUGCUGGAGAUCCCUUGGUGUCAUGAGACAGGCUGCCCAAGGUUUGCUCUUGGAAGAAGGCUUUAACAGAGGCUCUUACGUAUAGGGAUGAUGCCAACAUCACCUUCUUUUCAGAUGUUUUGAGCGGAAAAGCUCCUUGUGCCACCUUCUGACCUCCACAGCCCCAGUGUUGAUCUGAGCUAUUUGGAUAUGAAAGAAAUCAACCUGCCAAAAGAAAUGGAUAGUUUCUUGGCAAGACAAAAGACGCAUUCUGACCCAUAGCUGACACUGUGGCUUUCUGGGUUGGCCACCAUCGAUGCCCAGCUGCAUUCACCCUGCUGGCACUUGGUGUUCGGCACUAUAACCUCAGCUCAGCUGCCACACAGGCUUGUUCUGGAUUUGUCUGGUGGUUUUAGUGCUUUUAAAGAAGAGAUGUACAGGAGAAGAUGAGUGGGUCCCUCUGCACAGGGCCAGGAGCAAGCCUGGAGGCAUCAGCGGGUCUGUACCAUGUUGUGUUCCUUAGAAAAUGACUCUGUGCUGUCCCAGAUGUUACAGUCAAAGCAAAAACACCAUUUGGAAAAGGCAACGCUUUCCUCGUGCAGCAAGGAGACAGCUGAGCACUGUUUAUAGAUGCAUUUAAUCAGCCCAAAAUGAGUUUCACGGAGGAGGCAAUAGACAACCUAAUUAGUGACUUGUCUGUGGUCUAACCAGCCAGGUCAGGGAAGGGCACCUAAAGAGAAGUGAUAGAUCCUGCAAAGGGGCCCCACCUCCGCAGGAUUAAUGAAAACCCUUCCCCAAAUAAGAAUAUUCUCGAGCAGUGAGAGGAUGGAGAAUUUUUUUCAACGAGUGAAGGUGAAAUACAAAGGGAAAUAGCGGACAAGCUUUUUUUUUAAUGUGCAAAUGAUACCAGUGCAACGGAGAAGUGUACAGGAAAAGAAAUAGUUUUGCAUAAAUGCCUCUCUCUCAGUAGAUAUUGCAAAGGAAUGCAAACGCAAAAUGAGCUUGAGCGUACUUAAAGGGCAGUGAUCUGAUGAAGAUGAGAAGUGCAGAGUUAAUGUUCUCUCCUGGAUUUCUUCACAAAGUUACUGAGUAAGUUUUCCCCAGCCUGCUUCAUAUCCCUGCAAAUGAGAAGAAGGGAAUUUGUGGCUGCAGUGAGGUGGUGGAUGUUGGCAUUGCACUGAGGUGAGCAAACAGACGGCGACCACCACUGGCUGUGUAGAGAGGGGAGGUGGCCUUCAGAGGGGUCCCCCUUAUUCCUCUUCUCCCCCUACUCCCACUGACCCCCAGGUUACCACCCCAAAACCAUUCUCCCCUCAGAUUCGCUUGACCUUACUCACGAAAGCACCCUCUAAUCCUUCCUGCUAUCUCACCAGCUCCUAUCUAAUUUAUUCUACCAGCUACCACAAACUUAUUUAAUCUAAAGCUUCUGCAGAAAGAAGAAAAAAAAAUCUAUUUUAUGCUACAUUCUCUCCAUUUCCCCAUCCAAUACCUGUGUGAACUUGGAUAAAAUCACUAUUUAAUAGCACUAGUCAAGCCCCACUGCAUGUUCAGGAGCCUUGCUGGAUCAGCUAUUGAAAGUCUGUAUGGAACUUGUGAGUAUCUUGUAGUGCAGAGGGAAGGAUUAAACACCUGGUGUACAGGGAUGGCCCCAGUCUGCAUCCAUCCCUGUUACACCUGGGGCCAAGUGCUGCACACGGCAAUGGUCUCACCCAGCUGGUUGAUGGGGUGCCAUCAGGGGAUCAGCUGUGGGCUCUGGGGACAGGGACAGACACUUUUUAUAGCAGAGGGCUGGAAGGGAGCCCUGGGAUACCAGCCCAGGCUGCUGUGUUCCCACAGGGGAUGCCCACAGCCCAAGGUGGGCUCAUGACAUCCUUACAGCAUCUCUCUAAAGGUGGGAGAUGCUCAGCCUGGCUGGGUUUCAGGAUCGAUUUAUCCUAGGACAGUUUUCAGCUGUCUUCCCUGCAGUCCCUCCCCAAGGUUUUGGGCUUUUUUUUCCUAUUCCUUUUGCAGUCCCUGAAUCAUCAGCCUCUAAUUAUUGCCUGCAGAUAAACAUACACUUCUCCCUGGAAGAAGUCCAUUAUUAUUAUUUUUUUUUUAACCUAAAAUUGAAGGCAGUUAGCAGAUGCUUGGGCAGCGUGAACACUGCAAUGCAUUAUUAAAAUGAGCUCUCACCCCUCUGCUUUGCCGUACUUAGCACCACUCUCCGCCACAUUUGGGCUCUUGGGGAAGUUUUUGGGACCUCGAGCAGACAGCAAUCUUCAGCCUGAGGUAUGUCAGACCAUGUGAUUUAAUGGGCACUAAAACCAGGGAGCUGAUGGAUUUUUCUAUGUAGCCAAAGGCUCUGCAAAGGUGGCAGAGCAGAGAUACAGAGGACAUGUGGUGAUGGAGGAGACCCAGCCCUGACCAGGAGAUCCCCAUCCCCGUGCUGUUCUCAUGUCCCCAACGUCUCCAUAGCCAAGCUGGAACUGGAUGGAGCCGUCAGCAAGAAUUAUUCCCACGUACCUGUGGUAUGAAAGGCCUUUGUGUUAUGGUUGUGCAUAAAUAGUUACUGUAAAAAAAAAAAUAAUGUUAUUUUAAAUCCAAAAACUGUCACAUUUCCUUCCUAAAUGAUAACUAAAUCCAUACAGCACCUGAAGAGGUUUUCUAUCUCUUUCAAUUUAAAGCUUCAUUUGUGACAAAAGAGCAUUAAAAUAGGAAAACAUUCUUUUAAAGAGAGAUAGCUCUAAUAUUUGAUAACUUAUAAAAGUUAAUAUAUGUUUAUAUUAUCUGAUACAUAUGACCUAUUAAAUGUAAGCAAUAUUGUGCUAAACUGAACUGAAAUUAUUAUCGUACUGAUAGAAGGAGCAUAAUAACAUAUCCAAAGCACUGGGUAUCACAGAACAGGAGGGAGACCCAUGUACUGCAUUGAGCUUCCCGUCUCUCAGCAGCAGCACUGCUGCAUCUCAGUGACCAAAGCAGCCAUGCAGGCUUUCACAGUGUGAUUUUCAUGGUGGCUUGGUGUUGGCCUGGGGACAGCUAUUGGCCUUACCUUGGCACCGACUGCAGCAGAAGGCUGAGCUCAACUGGAGACCGAGACCAGCAGGGUUUAUGGCCAUUAUUAAUGAUGCUUUUCCAUAUUAAUACAGAGCAUGAAUGUCAGUAUGAUUGUAACUGGGAUAAUAACUGUUUGUUACACUGCGAUGAGGCUGUUAGGGCUGCUAUUACAGCAACAAUAAAUCCGCGGCUCUGAGCAGGGCUGUUCCGUUUGCCCACGAUGACAUUCUGAUCUGAGAGGCGUGAGGAGGACAGACAGUGUUGCGACACCUCUGUGUGGCUGUGAUUCUCUGGGAGACUUUAUUAGGACCUGGAGAUGGAGCAUCUGAGCGCACUGAGGAGGAUGCUCGGGGUGGCCCUGAGCCAGCAGGUCACCAGGCAUGCACCUCGUGCCAACCCUCAUCGGUUGGUGCUCCAAUUAAGAGACAAAGCAGGAUGACUUGUAGCCGUGCAGUUAAUCAGGGGUCAGGUGGCUGGAGCUUUCUCACCCAAAUGCUUGGGACGCUGCUGCUUUUGUGUUGCCAGAAAAAGGGGGCAGUUAAAAUACAGCUGAGGGAGGGGAACAGCGGCCACCGACCCACCUGGUACCGCCUCCCAUUGCCUGCACAAUGAGCAUCCCAUUCACUUUGUUCCUCUGAAAUCCUAUUUAGGGAGCUGGCUUGUAAGAUGUGGGGAAACAACAAUGUGACUUUCAUAUCACUCUGUGAGGAAACUAUUUGAAUGCACUCUUGGUUUAUCUUGAGAAACCAGUCACUGCAACUGCAAGCUGGAGCUGGGGAAUGCACUUUCAUGCUGGUUCCAAUUGAUAAGCCCCAAACCGAGCUUGAUAGUUGUGUCUUGUUUACCCGAGUGACAAGACGGCUCUUUGUGUCCAAACCCUCCUCUGAAAGCACAUACCUCAAGUAAAGCUGUGCAAGGGACUUCGGCUUUAAUGCUCUCCUUAAUGCACGAGGAGGGGAGCGGCUGCUGUGCAGGAGAAAACCUCUGUGAAGAACAACCCCUGGACAUGAAGCCUGGAAGCACUCAUAUCCUUGCUUUGCCUAGCUUUGUCUGCUAAUAGUUGUUGCCUGCUCAGGGGCAGGACGGGAUGUCUGUGCUCCCUCAGCACUCACCUGCAGACCGGACGCAGCUUCCUUGGCCAGCAGCUGCAGGGUGACUUGGGUUUACUGGCUUAAUUUACCACACUUCCUCUCUUCUAACAGCUGGAGUUAAAAUCAUUUCUUGUAGAAUCACAGAAUCAUCAAGGCUGGAAAAGACCUUUAAGAUCAUCUAGUCCAACCGUCCAUCUAGCACCAGUAUUGCCCACAUAUUGCAAGCAUGAUCAGCUGGCCUGUAUUUCUUUUGCUGCGAUUUCUUAACUUGUCAAUUUUAUUUAGUCUAAUAAAGUGUUUUAAUUUCCUCUAA